CUCUUAUUUAGAGUGGUGGAGGGACUGGCCCGAUGAAACCCGGCAACCGGCACAGUAUGUGCAGUGGUGCUAAAUCCUGCAGCAAAGCUGAGAGAUAAGAG
rfam:Clostridium aceticum strain DSM 1496, complete genome.